CCCUUAGAUGUCCGGGGCCGCACGCGCGCUACACUGAAGGAAUCAGCGUGGCUUUCUCCCUGACCCGAAAGGGUUGGGAAACCCGUUGAAUCUCCUUCGUGAUAGGGAUUGGGGCUUGAAAUUGUUCCCCAUGAACGAGGAAUUCCCAGUAAGCGCGAGUCAUAAGCUCGCGUUGAUUACGUCCCUGCCCUUUGUACACACCGCCCGUCGCUACUACCGAUUGAACGGUUUAGUGAGGGCCUCGUAUUGGUCUCGGCCCGCUCUUUACCGGGCGGCGCCGUUGGUCGAGAAGACGCUCGAACUUGAUCGUUUAGAGGAAGUAAAAGUCGUAACA
rnacentral:rRNA from 1 species